rnacentral:rRNA from 1 species
GACGAACGCUGGCGGCGUGCUUAACACAUGCAAGUCGAACGGAAAGGCCCUGCUUUUGUGGGGUGCUCGAGUGGCGAACGGGUGAGUAACACGUGAGUAACCUGCCCUUGACUUUGGGAUAACUUCAGGAAACUGGGGCUAAUACCGGAUAGGAGCUCCUGCUGCAUGGUGGGGGUUGGAAAGUUUCGGCGGUUGGGGAUGGACUCGCGGCUUAUCAGCUUGUUGGUGGGGUAGUGGCUUACCAAGGCUUUGACGGGUAGCCGGCCUGAGAGGGUGACCGGCCACAUGGGGACUGAGAGACGGCCCAGACGCCUACGGGAGGCAGCAGUGGGGAAUAUUGCACAAUGGGCGGAAGCCUGAUGCAGCAACGCCGGGUGCGGGAUGACGGCCUUCGGGUGGUAAACCGCUUUCGCCUGUGACGAAGCGUGAGUGACGGUAAUGGGUAAAGAAGCACCGGCUAACUACGUG